rnacentral:rRNA from 1 species
UACGUAGGGCCCAAGCGUUGUUCGGAUUUACUGGGCGUAAAGGGCGCGUAGGCGGCGCGGUAAGUCACUUGUGAAAUCUCUGAGCUUAACUCAGAACGGCCAAGUGAUACUGCAGUGCUAGAGUGUGGAAGGGGCAAUCGGAAUUCUUGGUGUAGCGGUGAAAUGCGUAGAUAUCAAGAGGAACACCUGAGGUGAAGACGGGUUGCUGGGCCAACACUGACGCUGAUGCGCGAAAGCCAGGGGAGCAAACGGG